AUUGAACGCUGGCGGCAGGCCUAACACAUGCAAGUCGAGCGGCGGCGGACGGGUGAGUAAUGUCUGGGACACUGCCUGAUGGUGGUGGAUAACUACUGGAACCGGUAGCUAAUACCGCAUACCAUCAGAUUUGCCCAGAUGGGAUUAGCUAGUAGGUGGGGUAACGGCUCACCUAGGCGACGAUCCCUAGCUGGUCUGAGAGGAUGACCAGCCACACUGGAACUGAGACACGGUCCAGACUCCGACGGGAGGCAGCAGUGGGGAAUAUUGCACAAUGGGCGCAAGCCUGAUGCAGCCAUGCCGCGUGUAUGAAGAAGGCCUUCGGGUUGUAAAGUACUUUCAGCGGGGAGGCGUUACCCGCAGAAGAAGCACCGGCUAACUCCGUGCCAGCAGCCGCGGUAAUAC
rnacentral:rRNA from 1 species